AGUUACAGUAGUUGCUCUCCAAUAUGCCCAACCGAACCAGGUGGGCCGGGAUGGUGCAGUGACCAUAACGCAGUCUGUUUAUAGUCGUAAUAAAAUUCCGACUUGCCAUUUUCAGUUUGUUAUACCAUGGUGCUACAAGAAGGGCCUCAAGGGCUGCAUUUUCACUGUAGAGGUACUACAGUGAAAACACUGCAUUUAGAGUCCAGAAGAAAACUUUGACCAUACUUGGAUUGGGGAUCAUAAACAGCACUAACAAUACAACAAAGAGCUCACUGUUGCUACCAUCUGUAUACAAAGUAUAGUAGUCAUUGUCGUAAAGAAAACAGAAUCAUCCAUAAUUAUUUUAAAAAAAAUGGUAACAAUAGAGGUCUCAAAUAUAAUACAGGAAUAUGGGUAUGAGUAGCAUGUCCACUUUGAUUGUUUAAUUACAUUUUUUAAAUCUUCAUUCAUUUGCAGUACUAUGCGAGGCAGAAAUGGGAAAUAACCUCAUAAUAGCUCAGCUGAAGUCUGCUGGGUACAAGAAAAGAUCUGACAAGAGAGAGAUGAAGCUGAGAGCACAAUUUUGACCUCUCCGGAAGCCAUAUUGAACAUGUGGAAUGAUGUUGUUCGCCUCUUCAUAACAUUCAAGACCUUUAUCAUGUUUUUAUUAAGCUUUCCAACACAAGAUGACAAUAAUAUGGGACAAUAUGAGGAUGAUUGAACCUGAAGCACCGGAAGCAUUACUGCAACGGCGGGACAUAUUCAAACACCUUGAACGAAAAAAGAUCAUAUUGGAUGUUAUCAGGCAGAACAUUUGACAAGAAAGUAAUACAUACUAACAGUCUCGAGACCUACAGUACUUUGACCGACUUUUUUAGUAAAUCUUCUCACUGAAAUAAUUUCAUAAUUUCAUUCAUCGAAGACAGCUUUGUAUAAAUCCUUGUUCGAAAUGUUGGUAAGCACAUAUCGGAUAAUUUCAGUUUUUUCAUCUGUGGUGCAGGAAUAUGCGCCUUCAAGUUGUGCUUUGUCAUAAUAGCCGCAAUUUUAUUGGCAUUAACUCUAUGUAAAGCUAACACAUCCUUCACCUCUGAAGUAAAAAUAUGAUUUAAGUAAACUGGGCUUUUAUUUCCAAGUUUAACCUGUUGGUCAUGACUUUCAACAAAAACUUUGAAGUCCGUAUUUGUACAAUGCUCCGGAUAUAGUCUCAGAUAACCUGGCUUAAAAAACGGAAUAAAGUCAACCUCACAGCUACUUCAGGUCCAGAUUCCUUCGCACAUCUUUUACAAACAAUUUGGGAUCGUUUCGAGGUUCCACCUGCGUCCUCCGGUUCAUUCGUUUUAAUAAUUAACAAAAUGUACAAUUAUUUAUACUGACUAAUAUAAGAGUUGGUAAUAUUUACACAGAAUAUUUUAACAUUAAAAAUAAUUAAAUCGACCGCCACGUUUGGAGUUCCCGCCAAAAAAACAGCCCUUUCUAGUUUGAGAAAAUGAAACACAGAUAACGGUCACAGACUAAAUUAGUAUUAGACUUAAUUUAUUUAUAAGAAAUCUU